CGUUUGACAAACUGUCCCAGCCGGUACCCAGCUCUCUUCUGGGGGGCUGGGGGGCAGAAUCAAAUCGCAGCCAGUUGUUCUGGAUAGCAGCCUGUCCUGGGAAAGCCUCUGGCCCCUUGGUUGCCAGUGACAGGAGGGGAGGGGAGGAAUCUUCUCUGCCCACUCUCCUGAGGCUGGAACUCGCAGUCAGCUCUGGGGAGAGAAGUAGGUGUUCCAAUGGGGCUGACAAAAGUACCAGAACUUGGAAGGCGGGUGAGAAGUUGUUGAGCCUGCAGGAGUGAGUUAUGCAGCAGCUUGGUUCAAGGCCAGGCAAAGGGAACAAGAGGCAGCGCUGCUCUGCAAAGGCAGAGUCUGUAGGAGGCUGGAGCAGAAACUGCAUCAUGGGCCUCCGAGCAGUCAGUGCCCUCAAAGUACUCCCGUAGAGCUUGAACUCCAUUGGUGACUUCACCGAAGAAAGCAUCGAUUCAUACACGAUGCCAUAAAGUGCCACCGAGGGCUCAAUCACCAAUAUAACCCCUGCGCAGCAACGUGAGAAAUGAAGCGGAGUUAUAUCUGUGGCGUCUGUAAAGAUGAGAGUCCUACCUGAAGGCAUCCAGAGCGUGUAUACACGCACGAAUAGCAGUGUGACCAAGUCUGUAAGAGAGAUGUUUUGGUUGCUUCUCUUUCACCUCCACCAUUCUGUGCUGAAACGAAGGGAUCUGCAAGCACAGAUGGUCUCUUUUCAAGAAGUCCAACAUCAGCUCAGGAUGCAGUUUGUACUAUCGGAGUGUCUACCACAACCCUUUCACAGGUUAUCAGAGCCCAAAAUCUGGUCCAGAGUGACACACUGAUGACAGCUAGUUCUGUGACAUCCUUUUCAAUAUUUCUGGCAAUGUGUGAUGAAAAGCUGCCAGAAUAUGCUUCAUUCAAAAGAGUGAGAAUUCAAAGGCAAAAGAAUCAAGACCUCCUCCAUCAGCAGAGAGAGAUUGAGGUUCAGCAAUACUGACUGUGGCUUUAACUGUGCAACUUGUGCCUCUGGGAGAGGAAUUCACAACCCAAAUGGAGACUUUCAACAUGCAGAUGGCCGAAAAGUGUCAG